rnacentral:rRNA from 1 species
GGGCCCGCACAAGCGGUGGAGUAUGUGGUUUAAUUCGAUGCAACGCGAAAACCUUACCUACUCUUGACAUACUUGGAAGCUCUUGUAAUGAGAGUGUGCCUUUUGGAGCCAAGAUACAGGUGCUGCAUGGCUGUCGUCAGCUCGUGUCGUGAGAUGUUCCGUUAAGUCGGAUAACGAGCGCAACCCUUACCCUUAUUUGCCAGCGAUCGGUCGGGAACUAUAAGGGGACUGCCGGUGAUAAACCGGAGGAAGGUGAGGACGACGUCAAGUCAUCAUGGCCCUUACGAGUAGGGCUACACACGUGCUACAAUGGGGAAUACAGACGGUUGCUAAAGCGCGAGCUGGAGCCAAUCCGACAAAGUCUCUCGUAG